GUGCUCGCUUCGGCAGCACAUAUGCAAGAAUUGGAACGGUACAGAGAAGAUUAGCAUGGCCCCUGCGCAAUAAAAAAAUAAAAAUAAAGUGCUACUGGAAGGAAUUUUUU